CCGCACGCCGCUCCCCCAGCAGCGUCGACUUCCAUCCAUGGCUGCCCGCGCGCCCGGCUCCCCCUUUCCUUGCGCGACGCGAGAUGGAUCGGCGAGAUUGCCCACAAAUCGCAUCCAUGGCAGCUUAGUUCUCCCAAAUCCGCCGCGAAUCGCAUCUGCCAACGAGGAUUGGCGCCGCCAUGUCGUAGAUCUCCCACGUCGGUGGCCGACUUUGUCAUGCCUUUCUUCCUCUUCAUCGUCGGAGUCGCCUUGGCGCUCGCGUACAAGAGAGUCCCGGACAAGUUGGACGCCUCGAGAAAGGCAUUGCUCCGUGCGCUGACGCUGUUUUGUCUUGGUCUUGGUCUUGUUCUACAAGGUGGAUUCUUUCAUGGUGUUCGUAGUCUAAGUUUUGGGGUUGACCUUCGAGAAAUACGGCUGAUGGGUGUACUGCAG